CGCCCCUAAGACCUAAUUUUAUUCCGUAUUCUUCUUCUUUAUUCCUAUGUUGUCGUCGCCCUAGUGAACAACCAUCGUUGUUGUCGCCGUCCAUUGGAAACCUCCCAUCCUCUCUUUAUUUUUUUGCUUCUUUAUUGUGGUACCAUUUAUUUUUGGUCCAUUAUUGCUGCCAUUUCGCACACCACUUCUGCCCCUUGAGGCCCCUCAAUCUCACUUCUUUUCUUCUUUAUUUGCUGUCGGUUUUGCACUUCUUUCAUCACACAUCUGAAUCUGGAGUGUAAGUUGAAGUUUGAAUUAGAUCUAGUAUUGUUUUUCCCUCUUCCUUGACUCCCUUUAAUGGCCGAAUCUAUCAGAGUUCAUGGUCGAAUCUCACAUGUGUUUUUUUUUUUUUUGUAUUUAUUUUUAUCAAGGUUCAGAUCCGAAUCACUUGGAUCAGCAGUAGCGCCAGAAGUUGCUUGCUCCACCCUUUAAAGUCAAAAUAGAGUAAGUAGUAAUCUCUAAAAUCAGAUCUGUAAAACCAAUCUUUUUCUCUAAUUUGGCGAACCCUUUAGGGUGAUUAACGGUUGAUUUCUAACAACUUUUCUUGUGUUAGGUACAAAUUUGAACUAGAUUUAGCUAGAUCUGAAACUUAGGACCUGUAGAUUAGCGAUAGUGCUUCUGUUUCGCGUUAAUCAGGUGUGGGUCCUAACUUUUUGUGUGUUAAUGAUUGUUGUAAGCAUGUGUAAGUGUUACUUUGGUGAUUGGCCGAUUAUAUAUGUGGUUUAAGUGCUAUGGCGGAAUGUUAUAGGGACUUAAGAUGUGUCUAUCCAAAUGUGUAAGUGCUAUAAAGAUUUAAGCUGAUUGUAUGAUUGCUGAAAUUGGUUGAAUUGCACUGUUAUUACUUGUAUUGUAGCAUGCUGAUUGUUAUUGUUAAAUUGAUUGCAUGUAAAACAUGCCAUUGACUGUUAUCGUAUAUUGUUUGCAUGUAAGUGUGGAAACUUUUUUUGGAAAUUGACUUUUUAUUUUAAAACGAAAAUGGAGUAGCCACCAAUCUUUUUUAUUAGGUGUGAUUGAAUUACCUCGAAACUUAAUCAUUUUAAUAAAAAAUCGUUAAAUUUACUAAAACGAUAAUUUUCAGUGUACAAAAUUCAGGAAGUGGGUUCGGGAGUCGAUUACGUAUGAGGAAUAAUUAGCACCCUCAUAACGCCCCAAAUUGAUACCUAGUAGAUUACUUGAUGUCUCAGUGUCGAGAAUUGAGAAUUCAAAGAAAAUUUAAAAUGCGAAACCCUUCUUGCAUGAUUUUGAUUAAAAUAUCGCUAGCUAAAUUAAAUUUUAUGGAAAGAGCCUUCUUAUUUCAAGUUAAUUAAGAAAAAAUGAUCAUAUU
rnacentral:lncRNA from 1 species